rnacentral:lncRNA from 1 species
AUGGUUUUAUUGAAACGUAAUGUGGACGAAUGUAUGAUCAAUCCUUAUAAUUCUGAAAUUCUUCACUUGCAUUGUGCCAAUAUGGAUAUCCAAUUCAUAUUGGAUGGUUACUCUUGCGCAAAUUAUGUUUUAAAUUAUGUCAAUGAGUCUCGAAAAGGUUUACCUCGUAUGGAAUUACAUCCGGGCAAAAAUUAUAAGUUUUUUUUGGAACGUCGGAACGAUCAUCUAUGGAAUGAUGAAUUCAACCGGUUGAUAUUUUGGCGCCGUUUUGUUUUUGAGGUUACAUUAGUGCAUGUACAUUUCAGGCCGAAUCGUCUAAUUUUCAGUUUCAGGAGGAUAAAUUGCUGCUGCAGUCUGGUGUUGCGCGCAACCAUGGAAUCUUCCCAAAUAACUUAUCGCUACAAAAGCAGUGUACCUAGGAGCAACGUCUACCACAUGUGGACUGGUGCAUCACCCAAACGGUAUUUUUCAAUACCUUUUUAAGCGUGCCUAUAGGGCUCGCUUUUUGAAAUCACUCGGAUGUACUGUAGUACAGCACACCGAUCGACCAAUGCUUUUCAAGGGGCGGUCCGAAUUUUUUUUCCGUCGGAUCCGUUCUUCCGUUUUUGAACCGUUAUAGUGUCAAGCCCUGAAGGUCAUUCAUCGAGAAACCGAAUUAUCCUGUUACUGGAAACCCUUGAGAACAUUUUCCCGUGGAAACCGUAUUAUUUUCUUUCAUAGGUACGUCAAAUAAGCUUUUCUACGCUCGGAGGAUUUAAAUUAGAAGUUUAAAUGCCGCCAUAACUAUUUAGCGAAUCAGCGUCUUUUCAAAAGCGGUUAAACCCAAGUUGGCUGCAUCUCCAUAGUUACAACUGCAGCGAAGUGAGCAAUCUCCAAUUCGACCAAUUGGAAGGCAGAGUUUUGGAGGUUAGGUUCCCUUGUUGAUUCUCUGAGUGUAAGUUGUUUUUUUUUUUUUUUUUUUUUUUUUUUUUUUUUUUUUUUUUUUUUUGUGUCACGUUUUUUUUUUUUUUAUUUCCAGAAAAGAUACCUUAAAGUCUCAUUUAAUACAAAUCAAUCGAAGAAAAGAGAAAAGACAAAGUUUGACUCAUUAAACAGAGUAAACUCCAU